rnacentral:lncRNA from 1 species
GAGCAGCCUGCCAGGAGGAUGUGUGCUUAGGGCUCAACAGGCUAGCAUGUUCGGAUUUCUUCCUCCUGACUCUCAGGCCAAGUAAACAGUCAUCCCGACUGCAGUUUGCACAACAGAUCUUUGCUCCCAAAGUAGUACCCCAAAGUGUUCUUAUUCCCAUUUUACACAUGAGGAAACUGAGGCUCUGCGUGUUCAGACUUGCUUAAAAUUAUCCAGCUCCUACAGAGGUAGAAUUGGCAUCAAAGCCCAGGCACCCCCCGCUGCAAAGCUCACGCCCAGCAGCUCCCGUGGCCAAACCAACCACUUCAGAAGCUAGAAGCAUAACCUUUCUGUCCCUCCCAGAAGACCCCACUUCCUGACUGUAAAGGAAUGAGGACAUUUAUCAUAUGGAGAGGCCCCCGGCAGGGAGCCGAGGCCACCAAGAGCUCCAUGUCCCUAAAUCUCUGGCUGUGCUCCAACUUUGGACAACGACAGGGGGGCGACAGCAUCCUGGGGACAAAGGACUUCUGGAAACCCAGGGGGUCGCUCCUCUCCCCAAGUGUCAAGGCUCAUUUCUACUCCAUCAUCUCUUGUCCUAACUUUUAUGGAAGCCUGAUAAACCACUUCUAAGCAUGUAUGUAAUGUUUGCUUUCAUGGGACAGUCUCAGUGAAAUUCUAUCUCGGUCACAAAUCUCUGAGCUUUGUAAAUGUCAAACAGAAUCAGUUUUCUAAUACUUGGUAAUGGAGGCAUCAAAGUUCCCCUUCUCUCUCUCUGACAGGAGCCGAGCAUCUGAGGUUUCCUGCUCCUGAGAGAAAGCCCCGGCUGCCCAGGCUCAGGGUCUGGUGGCAGUGUCAGUCGCCGAGGGACAGAAGAGUGAGUCGGGACAAUCAAAAGGAAUUUACAACCCACAGAUUAGGUGAUAAGCCCAGAAUCAUUGAAGUGAUGACCCCCCCACUGCGGCCUCCCUCCACACCCUGCCAGAGAAAGGACCCCUACACCACACCACACCCAGCUGGAGUCAGCUGCACUCCGGAGGCCACAUGUUGUCUUGCCAUGCCGCAUGUGCACACCCGUCUGCCCACAGGCACAAGCCAGCCGCAGCUUCUUUCACGUUCCCAAGCCUCGCCUAAGCCCUGGCACAGAGUGGGCACGUGACCAUUUUGGUGAAGGGACACGUUCAUGAAGAAUGGAUGAGAGAAGUGUAUUGUGACCACUGGACAACAGAGAGCAAAGAAAGGACUUCUUGUAGCUUGGUCCCUUCUGAGAGAACUGUUAUAAAGGAUUAUUGAAGGUAAUACUUUAAAAGGCAAUCACACGUCUCCUAAAUUGGAAUUCCAACCAGCCAUCUGAGAACUUGAGCAUGGUGUCAGGAAGAGCAACGGCGACAUGAGAGCUGAGAGUGGGAGAACAGUGGACUCACGGGUUGAAUGGAUUGUCUGGAGUGUUUGCACACUUCUUUCAACACCCAGUGCUCCAGCCCGGUGAGCUCCUGAUGCGGCCUUUGUGGGUGCUCCAGGUGUCCCUCACCCCAGUCCCAACUAUGCUAGGUGUAGGUGGGAUACACUCCCUCACUGGGUAUGGGUGGGAUACACUCCCUCACUGGGUAUGGGUGGGAUACACUCCCUCACUGGGUAUGGGUGGGAUACACUCCCUCACUGGGUGUAGGUGGGAUACACUCCCUCACUGGGUAUGGGUGGGAUACACUCCCUCACUGGGUAUGGG